UGCGCCACGUCGACAUCACGUGGUAGUUGCUAUAUAAAGAGAUGCUCGAUGAACAGUGAGUAGUUCAACUUCUCAUUAAUCAACCUUCACUUCGUCAAGCGCCUGCACACUGACUGUACAAGAAGACAACAUGUCUAUGAAAAUGCUGCUGCUGUUUGCUAUAGUUGUGGUGGCGGGAUGGAAGACUUUGGAGGCAUUUAAGAGACAAAUGAGUGUAGGAGGUGGAGGUUUUGCAGACUCUGCUGGAGGCUUUCCUCAGAUUUUUUCUACAUUGGGAGCUACUGACUGUCUGACAAGAGGUGGCGUAGCAACCAACCCAUCGACGCAAGCGCAGAAGACGAAGCGGCUGUAGAUGUCGUGCCGUAGCGCAAGCGACUCAUAGCAUCAUUAGUAUCGAGAAGAGAGUCGCUUGUCUGGCUGUUGACUGCAAACUACAUUUUUUAGCUUAAUGUGAAAAAAAUGUAUAAAAUAAACCUUUAAAACUUCGAGGCUUCUUGUUAUGUGACGACCAUUCCUAACUAAACUCCAUCUCGCCAACUCAAGGCAUUUACGACAAUGCUUUUCUAAGAGAAAUAAAGGAAACAGUUACUUGCAUUACU